GCGAAAUGCGAUACGUGGUGCGAAUUGCAGAAUCCCGCGAACCAUCGAGUCUUUGAACGCAAGUUGCGCCCGAGGCCAAUCGGUCGAGGGCACGUCCGCCUGGGCGUCGAGC
rnacentral:rRNA from 1 species